AUAAGAGGGGCCUGGGCAGCCCAGCCCCAGCUGUGUGGACUGAGGAGCAGCCUGCUCACCAUGGCCUGGGCCCCCGUGCUCCUGGUGUUGCUCUGUCACUGCACAGGUUCCCUGUCCCAGUCUGUGCUGACUCAGCCGCCCUCUGUGUCUGCAUCUCCUGGAGCCACAGCCAGACUCACCUGCACCCUCAGCAGAGACCUCAGUGUUGGUGGUAAAAACAUGUACUGGUACCAGCAGAAGCCAGGGAGCGCUCCCCGGUUUUUCCUGUACUACUACUCAGACUCGGACAAGCAGCUGGGACCUGGGGUCCCCAGUCGGGUCUCUGGAUCCAAAGACACCUCAGCCAACGCAGCACAUUUGGUCAUCUCGGGGCUGCAGCCUGAGGACGAGGCCGACUAUUACUGUGCUGCAUGGGGCAGCAGUAAUACUUACACGGUGCUCCAGAGUCACGGGGAAGUGAGACAGAAACCUCCCUGUGCUCUUUCUGCCUGUGGUUGUCACUGCUUAUCUGCCUGGGACCAAGUCUAACUCAGGUGGCACUCG